rnacentral:pre_miRNA from 1 species
UUAAGCCAAUUUUGUAUGCAGUUGGAACAGCGCCCCUAGCGGCAAACGCAGGCAAAUGUUUCAACUCCAUACAAAUAUGAGGUA